UUUCCGUAGGUGAACCUGCGGAAGGAUCAUUACUUUUCACUUUGGGAGCUGUUAGUCUAUAUCACUAUAGCUGGCUCCUAUUUGAAACCCUUGUCUUUUGCGUACCCAUGUUUCCUCGGCGGGCUUGCCCGCCGGUUGGACAACCUUAAAACCUUUUUAAUUUUCAAUCAGCGUCUGAAUAAACAUAAUAAUUACAACUUUCAACAACGGAUCUCUUGGUUCUGGCAUCGAUGAAGAACGCAGC
rnacentral:misc_RNA from 1 species